rnacentral:rRNA from 1 species
UGGAUCCCAAGGCGAGGCCGAAAGGCGUAGUCGAUGGCUAGCAGGUUAAUAUUCCUGCACCGGCUUGUGAUGACAAAGACACGAUGGGGUGACGGAGAGUUGCAAGUGGGCAGGCGGGUAGUUGUGCCUGUCCGUGUUCGCGGGGACGCUGUAGGUAAAUCCGCAGCAAUCAUCCUCGGGAACGUCGGGGAGCGCUUAGGCGCGAACCCACCGAAAGCUCUUCCAGGAAAAUCCUCUAGUGAGUCACUGGCCGCCCGUACCGGAAACUGACACAGGUGGGCAGGGUGAGUAACCCAAGGCGCUCGAGAGAAACAUCGUCAAGGAACUCGGCAAAAUUUCUCCGUAACUUCGGGAUAAGGAGCGCCGUUGGUUGUGUAGCGGUUUACCCGCGAAGCAGCUGACGGCCGCAGAGAAUCGGUCCCUGCGACUGUUUAUCAAAAACACAGGUCUGUGCUAAGUCAUACUGACGCUGUAUACAGACUAACGCUUGCCCAAUGCCGGAAGGUCAAGAGGACGGGUUAGCCGCAAGGCGAGGCCUGGAAUUGAAGCCCCGGUGAAUGGCGGCCGUAACUAUGACGGUCCUAAGGUAGCAAGUUCCUUGUCGGGUAAGUUCCGACCCGCACGAAAAGCGUAACGACAGGGGUGGUGUCUCGACGAUGUACUCGGUGAAAUUGUAGUUGUGGUGAAAAUACCACAUCCCCGCGCCAGGACGAAAAGACCCCGUGAACCUUUACUGUAGGCUGGUAUUGGUUUCGAGUCGUGCAUGCGUAGCAUAGGUGGGAGGCGUUGAAGCGAGGGUUUCGGCCCUUGUGGAGCCAUCAGUGAAAUACCACUCUUGCUCUUCUUGAACCCUAACCGUGAAUCCGUGAAUCCGGACACGAGACAGUGCUUGCUGGGCAGUUUGGCUGGGGCGGUCUCCUCCCAAAGAGUAACGGAGGAGUCCAAAGGCGCCCUCAAUGCGGUUGGUAAUCGCAUGUUGAGUGUAAAGGCACAAGGGCGCUUGACUGCGAGACCCAUAAGUCGAGCAGGUGUGAAAGCAGGGCUUAGUGAUCCGGCGGUUUCCACGUGGAAGGGCCGUCGCUCAUCAGACAAAAGGUACUCCGGGGAUAACAGGCUGAUCUCCCCCAAGAGUCCGUAUCGACGGGGAGGUUUGGCACCUCGAUGUCGGCUCAUCGCAUCCUGGGGCUGAAGAAGGUCCCAAGGGUUUGGCUGUUCGCCAAUGAAAGCGGUACGCGAGCUGGGUUCAGACCGUCGUGAGACAGGUCGGUCUCUAUCCGGCGCGGGCGUAGGAUACUUGCGGAGAUUCGUCCCUAGUACGAGAGGAUUGGGACGGACGUACCCCUGGUGUACCAGUUGUCGCGCUAGCGGCAGUGCUGGGUAGCUAUGUACGGAAAGGAUAAAUGCUGAAAGCAUAUAAGCAUGAAGCCAGCUCCAAGAUGAAGUAUCCCCAUCAGGCUCCUGGAAGAUCACAGGUUGAUAGGCUCGCGGUGCACGCGCAGCUAUGCGUUCAGCUCACGAGUACUAAUAGGCCGAUCGACUUGACUAC